rnacentral:misc_RNA from 1 species
UCCGGUUUGAAACCGGCAGUCGCGUUAGACAUGGUAACUGACGCCGAGGGUUGCGCUCGUUGCGGGACUUAACCCAACACCUCACGGCACGAGCUGACGACAGCCAUGCAGCACCUGUGACCGUUCCCGACUUUACGGGUCGUUCCCCUUUCGGGGUUCUACUUCGGCCAUGUCAAGCCUAGGUAAGGUUCUUCGCGUUGCAUCGAAUUAAACCACAUGCUCCACCGCUUGUGCAGGCCCCCGUCAAUUCCUUUGAGUUUCACCGUUGCCGGCGUACUCCCCAGGUGGAUGGCUUAACGAUUUCUCUCUGCCGCUGGCUGUGUAUCGCCAACAGCGAGUCAUCAUCGUUUAGGGCGUGGACUAC